CUACAGGCUUAACACAUGCAAGUCGAGGGGCAGCAUUUUAGUUUGCUUGCAAACUGAAGAUGGCGACCGGCGCACGGGUGAGUAACACGUAUCCAACCUGCCGAUAACUCCGGAAUAGCCUUUCGAAAGAAAGAUUAAUACCGGAUAGCAUACGAAUAUCGCAUGAUAUUUUUAUUAAAGAAUUUCGGUUAUCGAUGGGGAUGCGUUCCAUUAGUUUGUUGGCGGGGUAACGGCCCACCAAGACUACGAUGGAUAGGGGUUCUGAGAGGAAGGUCCCCCACAUUGGAACUGAGACACGGUCCAAACUCCUACGGGAGGCAGCAGUGAGGAAUAUUGGUCAAUGGGCGAGAGCCUGAACCAGCCAAGUAGCGUGAAGGAUGAAGGCUCUAUGGGUCGUAAACUUCUUUUAUAUGGGAAUAAAGUUUUCCACGUGUGGAAUUUUGUAUGUACCAUAUGAAUAAGGAUCGGCUAACUCCGUGCCAGCAGCCGCGGUAAUACGGAGGAUCCGAGCGUUAUCCGGAUUUAUUGGGUUUAAAGGGAGCGUAGGUGGAUUGUUAAGUCAGUUGUGAAAGUUUGCGGCUCAACCGUAAAAUUGCAGUUGAAACUGGCAGUCUUGAGUACAGUAGAGGUGGGCGGAAUUCGUGGUGUAGCGGUGAAAUGCUUAGAUAUCACGAAGAACUCCGAUUGCGAAGGCAGCUCACUAGACUGUCACUGACACUGAUGCUCGAAAGUGUGGGUAUCAAACAGGAUUAGAUACCCUGGUAGUCCACACAGUAAACGAUGAAUACUCGCUGUUUGCGAUAUACAGUAAGCGGCCAAGCGAAAGCAUUAAGUAUUCCACCUGGGGAGUACGCCGGCAACGGUGAAACUCAAAGGAAUUGACGGGGGCCCGCACAAGCGGAGGAACAUGUGGUUUAAUUCGAUGAUACGCGAGGAACCUUACCCGGGCUUAAAUUGCAACAGAAUAUAUUGGAAACAGUAUAGCCGUAAGGCUGUUGUGAAGGUGCUGCAUGGUUGUCGUCAGCUCGUGCCGUGAGGUGUCGGCUUAAGUGCCAUAACGAGCGCAACCCUUAUCUUUAGUUACUAACAGGUCAUGCUGAGGACUCUAGAGAGACUGCCGUCGUAAGAUGUGAGGAAGGUGGGGAUGACGUCAAAUCAGCACGGCCCUUACGUCCGGGGCUACACACGUGUUACAAUGGGGGGUACAGAAGGCGGCUACCUGGUGACAGGAUGCUAAUCCCAAAAACCUCUCUCAGUUCGGAUCGAAGUCUGCAACCCGACUUCGUGAAGCUGGAUUCGCUAGUAAUCGCGCAUCAGCCAUGGCGCGGUGAAUACGUUCCCGGGCCUUGUACACACCGCCCGUCAAGCCAUGAAAGCCGGGGGUACCUGAAGUACGUAACCGCAAGGAGCGUCCUAGGGUAAAACUGGUAAUUG
rnacentral:rRNA from 1 species